rnacentral:rRNA from 1 species
UGGGGAAUAUUGGACAAUGGACCGAGAGUCUGAUCCAGCAAUUCUGUGUGCACGAUGAAGUUUUUCGGAAUGUAAAGUGCUUUCAGUUGGGAAGAAAAAAAUGACGGUACCAACAGAAGAAGUGACGGCUAAAUACGUGCCAGCAGCCGCGGUAAUACGUAUGUCACAAGCGUUAUCCGGAUUUAUUGGGCGUAAAGCGCGUCUAGGUGGUUAUGUAAGUCUGAUGUGAAAAUGCAGGGCUCAACUCUGUAUUGCGUUGGAAACUGUAUAACUAGAGUACUGGAGAGGUAAGCGGAACUACAAGUGUAGAGGUGAAAUUCGUAGAUAUUUGUAGGAAUGUCGAUGGGGAAGCCAGCUUACUGGACAGAUACUGACGCUAAAGCGCGAAAGCGUGGGUAGCAAACAGG